GAUCCUGGCUCAGAACGAACGCUGGCGGCAUGGAUUAGGCAUGCAAGUCGAACGGGAGCAGCAAUGCUCCAGUGGCGCAAGGGUGAGGAACACGUGAACAACCUGCCUUCGAGUUGGGGAUAGCUUUUGGAAACGGGAGAUAAUACCGAAUAACAUUACCGGAUCGCAUGAUUUGGUGAUCAAAGCAGCAAUGCGCUUGAAGAGGGGUUCGCGUCCCAUUAGCUAGUUGGUGAGGUAACGGCCCACCAAGGCGAUGAUGGGUAGCUGGUCUGAGAGGACGACCAGCCACAUUGGGACUGAGAUACUGCCCAGACUCCUACGGGAGGCUGCAGUCGAGAAUUUUGGGCAAUGGACGAAAGUCUGAACCCCCAGCAAUGCCGCGUGCGGGAUGAAGGUCUUCGGAUUGUAAACCGCUGUCAAGAGGGACGAAAUAUGACGGUACCUCUGGAGGAAGCCACGGCUAACUACGUGCCAGCCGCUGC
rnacentral:rRNA from 1 species